GUGCCAGCAGCCGCGGUAAUACCGGCAGCCCGAGUGAUGGCCGAUCUUAUUGGGCCUAAAGCGUCCGUAGCUGGCCGCGCAAGUCCGUCGGGAAAUCCAUCAGCUCAACUGAUGGGCGUCCGGCGGAAACUGCACGGCUUGGGACCGGAAGGCUCGAGGGGUACGUCCGGGGUAGGAGUGAAAUCCCGUAAUCCUGGACGGACCACCGGUGGCGAAAGCGCCUCGAGAGGACGGACCCGACGGUGAGGAACGAAAGCCAGGGUCUCGAACCGGAUUAGAUACCCGGGUAGUCC
rnacentral:rRNA from 1 species